CGCCUGAUUAGUGGCGAACGGGUGAGUAACACGUGAGUAACCUGCCCUCCACUUCGGGAUAACCUCGGGAAAUCGUGGCUAAUACCGGAUAUGAGCACUCAUCGCAUGGUGGGUGUUGGAAAGAUUUAUCGGUGGGGGAUGGACUCGCGGCCUAUCAGUUUGUUGGUGAGGUGAUGGCUCACCAAGACGAUGACGGGUAGCCGGCCUGAGAGGGCGACCGGCCACACUGGGACUGAGACACGGCCCAGAYUCCUACGGGAGGGCAGCAGUGGGGAAUAUUGCMCAAUGGGCGAAAGCCUGAUGCAGCGACGCCGCGUGGGGGAUGACGGCCUUCGGGUUGUAAACCCCUUUCAGUAGGGAAGAAGCGAGAGUGACGGUACCUGCAGAAGAAGCGCCGGCUAACUACGUGCCAGCAGCCGCGGUAAUACGUAGGGCGCAAGCGUUGUCCGGAAUUAUUGGGCGUAAAGAGCUUGUAGGUGGCUUGUCGCGUCUGCCGUGAAAACCCGAGGCUCAACCUCGGGCGUGCGGUGGGUACGGGCAGGCUAGAGUGUGGUAGGGGAGACUGGAACUCCUGGUGUAGCGGUGAAAUGCGCAGAUAUCAGGAAGAACACCGAUGGCGAAGGCAGGUCUCUGGGCCAUUACUGACACUGAGAAGCGAAAGCAUGGGUAGCGAACAGGAUUAGAUACCCUGGUAGUCCAUGCCGUAAACGUUGGGCACUAGGUGUGGGGGACAUUCCACGUUUUCCGCGCCGUAGCUAACGCAUUAAGUGCCCCGCCUGGGGAGUACGGCCGCAAGGCUAAAACUCAAAGGAAUUGACGGGGGCCCGCACAAGCGGCGGAGCAUGCUGAUUAAUUCGAUGCAACGCGAAGAACCUUACCAAGGCUUGACAUGCACUGGACGGCUGCAGAGAUGUGGCUUUCUUUGGACUGGUGCACAGGUGGUGCAUGGUUGUCGUCAGCUCGUGUCGUGAGAUGUUGGGUUAAGUUCCCGCAACGAGCGCAACCCUCGUUCUAUGUUGCCAGCACGUGAUGGUGGGGACUCAUAGGARACUGCCGGGGUCAACUCGGAGGAAGGUGGGGACGACGUCAAAUCAUCAUGSCCCUUAUGUCUUGGGCUUCAAGCAUGCUACAAUGGUCGGUACAAUGGGUUGCGAAACUGUGAGGUGGAGCGAAUCCCAAAAAGCCGGCCUCAGUUCGGAUUGGGGUCUGCAACUCGACCCCAUGAAGUCGGAGUCGCUAGUAAUCG
rnacentral:rRNA from 1 species